CGAAAUCUAUGUGCGCAUUACGCAUCCCCUGCGCUUUGGAAACAUUCAGCCUCCUUACGCACAUUUUCCUGUGUCUCUAUCCCUACAGGGGUCGCUUCUAAAUUCAGUCCCAUCUGCAAAAGAGAACCUCAAACCUUCGACUCUCAAACCUUCGACUCAAAUCAAAUCCUCUAUCUUCAUUACACUCUUUUUCCCUUCCACUAAUUGUUUUCAAUUUCUGUUUUUUCUUUCAAACCUAACCCUAAUUUCACAUUUUUUCUUUAAAGUUUUCCUUGGCUUUCUAUAACUCUCUGUAAAUUCAUUACUUGGGAGCUUAUAUGCUAUUGAAUUAUUGUUGCUUUCCUUAAAGUAAAGGAAAAAUUAAAAUACUGAAGACUGAUUUAUUUAUCUGUUUCUGAUUCAAAUUCAUAGUUUUUUGUUUGCUGAGGUUUGUGGGUUUUCUUAUUUAGUAGCUUUUGGAAAAGCAAUAGAGUUAAAGUUUGGUUUUUCCUUUCCAAAAAUUUUGAAACAUUGUCGUAUUUCUCUCUCUACCGAUCAGUUCUACAACUAACAAUAUCAACUAAUACACUAUCAGCACCAAACCCAUAAAGACUUGAUUUUCUAUCAGUGAUCGACAACUCCCUUUUGUGGUAAUCUGAUGAUUUGUUGAAUUCUAUUGCAAAAUGUCGGUGGAAAGGUCGUUCGAAGCAUGGGAGGAAGUGCAGCGGCAUGGC
rnacentral:misc_RNA from 1 species